rnacentral:rRNA from 1 species
CCUACGGGAGACAGCAGUGAGGAAUAUUGGUCAAUGGCCGAGAGGCUGAACCAGCCAAGUAGCGUGAAGGAUGACUGCCCUAUGGGUUAUAAACUUCUUUUAUAUGGGAAUAAAAUGUUCCACGUGUGGGAUUUUGUCUGUACCUUAUGAAUAAGCAUCGGCUAACUCCGUGCCAGCAGCCGCGGUAAUACGGAGGAUCCGAGCGUUAUCCGGAUUUAUUGGGUUUAAAGGGUGCGUAGGUGGAUUUUUAAGUCAGUUGUGAAAGUUUGGGGCUCAACCGUAAAAUUGCAGUUGAUACUGUCAGACUCGAGUACAGUAGAGGUAGGCGGAAUGUGUGGUGUAGCGGUGAAAUGCUUAGAUAUUACGAAGAACUCCGAUUGCGAAGGCAGCUUACUAGACUGCGACUGACACUGAGGCACGAAAGCGUGGGUAUCAAACAGGAUUAGAUACCCCAGUAGUC